AACGAACGCUGGCGGCAGGCCUAACACAUGCAAGUCGAGCGCCCCGCAAGGGGAGCGGCGGACGGGUGAGUAACGCGUGGGAACGUACCCUUUGCUACGGAAUAGCCUCGGGAAACUGGGAGUAAUACCGUAUGUGCCCUUCGGGGGAAAGAUUUAUCGGCAAAGGAUCGGCCCGCGUUGGAUUAGGUAGUUGGUGGGGUAAUGGCCUACCAAGCCGACGAUCCAUAGCUGGUUUGAGAGGAUGAUCAGCCACACUGGGACUGAGACACGGCCCAGACUCCUACGGGAGGCAGCAGUGGGGAAUCUUAGACAAUGGGCGCAAGCCUGAUCUAGCCAUGCCGCGUGAGCGAUGAAGGCCUUAGGGUGUAAAGCUCUUUCAGUGGGAAGAUAAUGACUGUACCCACAGAGAAGCCCCGGCUAACUCCGUG
rnacentral:rRNA from 1 species